rnacentral:rRNA from 1 species
UGGGGGAUAUUGCACAAUGGGCGAAAGCCUGAUGCAGCGACGCCGCGUGGGGGAUGAAGGCCUUCGGGUUGUAAACUUCUUUUGCUCUGAACAAGGCAUGCUAAUGGGUGUGUUGAGUGUAGGGGUUGAUUAGCGCCGGCUAACUACGUGCCAGCAGCCGCGGUAAUACGUAGGGCGCGAGCGUUGUCCGGAAUUAUUGGGCGUAAAGGGCUUGUAGGUGGCUGGUUGCGUCUGUCGUGAAAGCUCAUGGCUUAACUGUGGGUUUGCGGUGGGUACGGACUGGCUUGAGUGCAGUAGGGGAGGCUGGAAUUCCUGGUGUAGCGGUGGAAUGCGCAGAUAUCAGGAGGAAUACCGGUGGCGAAGGCGGGUCUCUGGGCUGUUACUGACACUGAGGAGCGAAAGCAUGGGGAGCGAACAGG